UAAAAUGGACCCUAUCCAGCGAGCAUAAAAAAGAAAGGGGAAAAAAUAUCUGUGUGUGAGGGCUUGUUCUUCGUCAAGGGUUCCGAUCUGCAAGCAAGGGGGACAACGAGGCCGUGUUCAACAGUGAGAUUAAAGCACACAAAGAAGGCACGAGCAACCAGUAGACUCCGCUGAUCAGAACCGACCUGGGAGCGUAACGAAAGAAAACAGAUAUAAGUGAUGGCUGUAUAACUCGUACGAGUAACCAAAAAUAGUUUGUGACUGGUGGGAGGAGUCUUGCAACAGACUACUGUGUGACCAUUGACGGAAGAAUGGGUGGAAGUGGGUCCGGCAUAGGCGGAGGUGAAAGCCUAAUUUCCAGGCAUUCAGCCUCCUCGUCCCCUUCUAGGGUGAAGAUGUGUUAUUGUGGAGUGCCGGCUGCGUUGCGCAUGUCAAAUACACAGAGGAAUCCGGGCUGAUAGUUUCUUCGAUGUGCUAAUUCCAGGACUCAGCACGAUUGUCACUUUUUUGAGUGGUUUGACGAACCAAGUUGCCGUAAUUGUCUGAUAGUGGAUAAAUCAGGUUUAUGUGGUGUACAUGGGAAGCAAAACUGGUAAACACCCACAUGUUAAUUCUGAAGCAAAACCAUGACAUGCUUGCUGCUGUUCACAGUGGAAGCAUUGAGCAAGCCCAAGCUUCCCAUGUUCAUAGCUACAGACAUGGUUUCAUAGGCUUUGCAGCCAAGCUUAUUGAUGAACAGGCUUCCCAAAGUUCUAAAAUGGCAGGAGUGAAGGCAGCUCGCUGUUCUGGGAUGUUCUGGGAUGAGUAGUGAAGGCAACUGGCUGUUCUGGGAUGACUACUCUUGAUGUUUUAAAGCAUAAUGUAUGGCAUGUGAAAGACCUUAUUCAAGUAAGUCAAUUGUAGCUCAUGAUAUUACUUUUCUUGCUGCUAGAGCCAGUUAUUUAUUUAUUCUUGCUGCUACAUGUUGAUGUAGUACUCAAAGCAUUGAUCAUUGUUUCAAGUUUAUUUGUGGAAAGUCCUUAUUUUUCUCAACCUCCCUGGAGUUAUUGAGUAGCACUAAUACUACAAUAUGUGAACAAUAUACAUUAUGAAUUUAUAUACUCAGAAAACAGUUGCAAGGAUUUAAUGAUGAUUCAAUGUACAUUGUGUACUUUUCUUCUAGUAACUUCUUUAUUAUAAUUUGAUGACAAUAUGAUUUAAUGAUGUUAAAUGCACAUAGUGGGAUUUUGUCUAUCAUAUUCGGUGAAGUUAAUGUUUUUAAUGCCCUUGUAUCUUUCUUCCCUUUCAUGAAACUUGUACCUUCAGCUUGUCAUAUAUAAUUCUUAUCUUGGUACUUCCUGAUAAUCCUCCUUGGGCUUUGUCAUCACUGACUUCAACAGAUUUAGAUGAGUCAACUUAUUUAAAUUAAUGCUUAUUAUUGCCAUACCAAAAAAAACUUAACUUUAAACAUUACCAAUAAGAUUAAAUGGAUAUAUUUGAAUUCAACUAUACUAGAUAUGUUAUAACAUUACCAAUAAGAUUAAAUGGAUAUAUUUUUGGCUCUUUUAGACUGAAAACUUAAAGAUUAUGGAUAAUUUUUGGUUCCUGUUAGUCCUGAGUACUUUAUAUAUUCUUGAAGUUGCCUUACUGUUUGUUUCUCGGAUCUCUUAAUUAUUUGUGUCCUCAUGAUUUAUUGCAAGUAUCUGCCAUGCUUGAACGGUGCUUAUAUACAGAAUUCGAUGGUGGACUUGAAGUAUGCACCACUAAUAUUGCAGUGCAACCCAUGAUCCAUAGAGAUGAGAUUGAUUGUUGUUGUGUAUAAUGUCAUAUGAGAAGAAGGAACAUGCUUCUUCACCUCAAGAAGCACCACACCAGACGACUUCGAGAAUGGGGAGUGGUUUAGUGGACGAUAUUUCAAUAGGACAGUUGCCUUUGAAGAGGGUCAAAUUGAUAUCAGACAUGUUGAUUCCAUCAUGCGAGUCAUUGAGUUGAAGAGUUUGACAAGGGGGCAUCAGUAGGUGCAGAAUGACAACGCUCAUUGGGGAAUUGUUUGCAGCAUCAAAUAUAACUGAAGUCCCAUGGAUUAGCAUCCGUUCUAUAGUCACCAGAUGCAUUGCUGGAUCAUCAUGAAUAGAGACUUCGAAGCCAUCUACAGACAAUGAUAGAAUGUCCACGCCAUCUCUGAUUGUAAGGGUUGAAGUGCAAAGGGUAUGGGUUACAAGUGCAAGAUUCCAUUUUGUAUAUAGCUGUUACAUUUCCAUUAGGAGUCAUAGUUGUUAUGGUAGUGUUAAUGUGUCUGUAACAAUCACACUUAUGAAUUACAUUACUUUUCAAAAGCUGGAAUCUGUAAUUACAACAGUUGUCAUGAGUCUUGGGGUCGGUUUUUCCCACAACCCAUUUAUUGAAUCAGGUUUUGAUGCAAAUCUGAUUUUUUUUUUUAACUUGAAUGUAGUCAGAAGGUGACUCUUGUAAUCUCAUUAUUGAUGAAUAAAUUGGCCUUCGUGUA